rnacentral:lncRNA from 1 species
CCAUCUACAAAGAGGACCUCCCCCUGGGUCCCAGGAGCCUUGUGCUCUCUGGCAGGCACAACCUAGUCCUCAUUUCAAAGAUUCCAAACGAUUAAAAUUUUGAUCUUUCCUAUUUUGAGGCCUUGAUAUUUGCUACAAGCAAGUAUUUCUGCAUAACUUGGGGCACGUUUUCCUCAUGGUUACCUGACCAGUCCGUUCACUGUGAACAUUGCCUACUGUGUCCACCUAUCAUGAAGAAGACCUGAAAUUCCACUGUGAGGACUCUAGCAUCACAGGUCAGGAGACAAGUAAUCUUUCUAGCAAAUAAGUUUCUCAACCUUCUGGUAGACAUGGUACAGGGA